rnacentral:rRNA from 1 species
CGCAGCUAUAAUGCAGUCGAGCGAACAGAUAAGGAGCUUGCUCCUUUGACGUUAGCGGCGGACGGGUGAGUAACACGUGGGUAACCUACCUAUAAGACUGGGAUAACUUCGGGAAACCGGAGCUAAUACCGGAUAAUAUUUCGAACCGCAUGGUUCGAUAGUGAAAGAUGGUUUUGCUAUCACUUAUAGAUGGACCCGCGCCGUAUUAGCUAGUUGGUAAGGUAACGGCUUACCAAGGCGACGAUACGUAGCCGACCUGAGAGGGUGAUCGGCCACACUGGAACUGAGACACGGUCCAGACUCCUACGGGAGGCAGCAGUAGGGAAUCUUCCGCAAUGGGCGAAAGCCUGACGGAGCAACGCCGCGUGAGUGAUGAAGGUCUUCGGAUCGUAAAACUCUGUUAUUAGGGAAGAACAUACGUGUAAGUAACUGUGCACGUCUUGACGGUACCUAAUCAGAAAGCCACGGCUAACUACGUGCCAGCAGCCGCGGUAAUACGUAGGUGGCAAGCGUUAUCCGGAAUUAUUGGGCGUAAAGCGCGCGUAGGCGGUUUUUUAAGUCUGAUGUGAAAGCCCACGGCUCAACCGUGGAGGGUCAUUGGAAACUGGAAAACUUGAGUGCAGAAGAGGAAAGUGGAAUUCCAUGUGUAGCGGUGAAAUGCGCAGAGAUAUGGAGGAACACCAGUGGCGAAGGCGACUUUCUGGUCUGUAACUGACGCUGAUGUGCGAAAGCGUGGGGAUCAAACAGGAUUAGAUACCCUGGUAGUCCACGCCGUAAACGAUGAGUGCUAAGUGUUAGGGGGUUUCCGCCCCUUAGUGCUGCAGCUAACGCAUUAAGCACUCCGCCUGGGGAGUACGACCGCAAGGUUGAAACUCAAAGGAAUUGACGGGGACCCGCACAAGCGGUGGAGCAUGUGGUUUAAUUCGAAGCAACGCGAAGAACCUUACCAAAUCUUGACAUCCUUUGACAACUCUAGAGAUAGAGCUUUCCCCUUCGGGGGACAAAGUGACAGGUGGUGCAUGGUUGUCGUCAGCUCGUGUCGUGAGAUGUUGGGUUAAGUCCCGCAACGAGCGCAACCCUUAAGCUUAGUUGCCAUCAUUAAGUUGGGCACUCUAAGUUGACUGCCGGUGACAAACCGGAGGAAGGUGGGGAUGACGUCAAAUCAUCAUGCCCCUUAUGAUUUGGGCUACACACGUGCUACAAUGGACAAUACAAAGGGCAGCGAAACCGCGAGGUCAAGCAAAUCCCAUAAAGUUGUUCUCAGUUCGGAUUGUAGUCUGCAACUCGACUACAUGAAGCUGGAAUCGCUAGUAAUCGUAGAUCAGCAUGCUACGGUGAAUACGUUCCCGGGUCUUGUACACACCGCCCGUCACACCACGAGAGUUUGUAACACCCGAAGCCGGUGGAGUAACCAUUGGAGCUAGCCGUC